CAUGAUGAGAAUCAUUGUAAUUGUAAUCAAGACAGUGUACUUGAUGAAAGGUGUUGUAGGUGCAAAUGAUGUCAAUCAGCCUGAUGUACUCUGGGCUGAAAUUGGAAAAUCUGCCACAAUUAACUGCAGUCAUACCAAGGGUGCAAUUUACAUUCAGAUGUACUGGUACCGCCAGCACCAAGGAGAAACUAUGAAGCUCAUUGUCUUCACAUCCAGCUAUGGCAAAAAGCCAGAGUUUGGAAAUGAAUUUAGUGAGAGUAAAUUCUUAGCCAAUAAAACAGUCCCUGAGAGUGGGUCCCUUACUGUAAAAGAUCUGGAUAUUACUGACAGUGCAGUGUAUUUUUGCGCUGUGAGCCAACACAGUGUUAUAACUUUAGGGCAGCGCUGUACAAAAACACCCUGUGUGCAUGCAUGUCUUGGAGAACAGCCAAUAGAGGCAUUGUGGUAUAUAUAA